AAAAUAUUACACACCCAAAAACUCCCGCCUAUCAUUUUCAUCUCCCGCCUAAUGUUUUUUUUCUUUUCUCUUUUGACAGCUCGCUAACCCCACCACCCAGGUCCCUUGAUACCCAAUGACACGCCCCUGAUACCCAAUGAAACCCACGAAACCCACACCCCUUAUACCCAGAAAAACUCACGCCCCUUAUACCCAAAGAAACCCACGCCCGUUCUCAUCCUCAUCUCGUCGGAGGCGUCGCCCAACCCCGAGCAUCUCAGUCGGCAUCGCCCAACCCCGUUUUGUUCCCUCUCCGACCAUGACGAUGGCCACAAAGAAUCUCCGCCCAUGAAGCAUCUCCGGCUACGAAGAGGUUAGAUCUGAUCCAAACUUAUCUAAUAAUAAUUUUCAUCAACAAAUCUAGAAAAUGAUAUAUAUAUAUAUAGAAUUCAUUUGAUUUUUCUGGGUUUGAGAUUUUCUUAUAUUUUUUUACAAUAAUUGUUGUAAUUUUGAUUCAAUUUAGCAAUAGUAUAAAAUAGGCCAGCUGAAGAAAAAUGGUGAAAUAUUUUGUUUGUUACUGAUUGUUUUGUAGUAUUGCAAAUCACAACAAAUAGUGAAAAAACUUGGGCAUAUAUGGCCUUUAGUGCUUCUGCAAAGAAUGUGAGACAAUUAAUUUGUCAUUUGUUAAUUAAUUAAAACAUAUAAUUAAUAUGCCAGCAGGUAUUUAUAAAAUCCUAAAUUAUAUAUAUACAAAAUAUCUGCAAUAUAUAUACUUUUAAACCCAAACGAUAUUUUGGCUUCCACAAAAAAUGGAGCCUUUCUGUAUCUAGGAAGGAAGAGAUUAGGAGUUUGGUCCUUUUGGCCUCCGAAGAGGUGGCUAGGCUGAGCUCGAGGUGAAUACGGAAUCAAGUUACAGCGUCGUUUCCAUGGUUACUCUGAAUUAAUGUGUCGUUGUUUAUUUCUCCACCACUACUCGCUGUGAUCAAUGCAAAGUGGUUUGUCACUGGUAUUUAUUUUGACUUGCCAUUAUUAGAUUUUGAUAAUUAAAAAAUUUUGUGUUAUAAUCAAAUGAUUUGCUGUGUUUAGUUUUUAUUCAAUUAGAAUCAGAAUUUUGCGAGGGACGUUUUAUAGUGUCGAGUGGGGACUUUGAUACAGUUAAGCUUAAUCCUCAUCAUUCAAGCACUAUAACAAUACUCAUUGACUAAUCUCAUAGUGUCAUGUAGUUUCCAGAGGCUGCUUCCAUUAUAAUACACAUAUACUAAGUAUUUUCUUAUUAUUAACAUAAAUAUAUAUGUGGAAUUGGAUUGUGUUCAGUGUUAUUCAAGGAAGCGUAAGUGAGUUUUGCUUCCACAAUUGCAAACCAGCUCCAGUCAUAAUUGUUCCAAGCAAAGGUGCCUAAGUGGGAUUCAAUAGUGGGUGUUUUGAAAGCAUCUGCUAGUGUACAUACCUUGUUUGGAAAAAUGCCUGAAACAAUGACAUAAUCAUAUUUGUAUGAUGGCUCAUAUCCUGAUAUGUUGGUCUAUUAUGCAGACUUUGGUGUGGUGAUGCUGGUGGUAUGAAGAGGUCAACUUCUGUAAAUGAUUCAACUUGCACACAAUAUCUAAUUUUAAUAUUUAGUUCAAAAAAAAAAUUAUGCAGACUUUGGACCACAUUGAUGGUGAAUUUAAGAAUUACAUUUCCCUAUAUAUAUAUAUAUACACAAUAGAAUAUGGAAAUUUAAAGAAAAGUAAAUAUGCAUACUUUGAUGUUAUGCUCUGUUAUGCUGUUUGAUGUUUGAUGUUUAAGUGCAUUUUUAAAUUUGUUUUGAUUUUAAAAUGUUAUUGUUGGGGUACUUUCACAGGUGUUCUUUGAUCCAGAACUUUGGUCAGUGCUUGGACUUGCUGGAUACGAACUAUUUCAACUAUAAAAAGGUGUAUACCUAUUUCUACAAGAAUGUAUAGGGGCUUCUAGCUUCUGAGUUGGAGAUAGGGGCUUCACAUUUUUUUUUUAUGUUUGUUUGUUUUCCUAAUCUAGUGUUAGUGUUUUUUUUGUUCAUUUAGUUUGGUUUGUAUUGGGGUAACUUUUUUCUGUUUUCCAUGUUAGCAACUCUGAUCCAUAUGGAGUUUGUUGUUGUAGUUCAUAGACAAUACAAUUCAAGCAAAGAUUAUGUAAUUAAAUUUUUUAUGAUUUCUAUUGUAAUUUUUAUGUAAUGAAUAAAUGUGUUCAAUAUUAUUUAAA